UUUUGCCUUUCAUAGUAUGAAUGUACUAUUGUAUGUGUGCAAUGAUUAGUAUUUGAAUUCUGCAACUUCCUCGCAGGGACCUUAUAAUUUGUUAAUCUGCAUUCUGAUGCAUGAUGUAUCCAUAAACUGUCCUGUCUAGUAAAAUCCAUAAUUUUUUUUAUGUAAUAUCAGUUACUCUUCCUACCAGUUGUUAGUGUUUGGCCUUCUAAUUGUCACCCACUGUGAAAAUAUUUUUUUUCCUGGCAGUUUCUGCAAUAAACAAUGCUUCACUUAAAUAAUAUAUAUAGAUUGGCAUUUUUCUCUGUUUUCUCAUCUAAUUCAUGCUUUCUAUUCCCACCACACAUGCUACUACAAAAUUCUAUUGUUACAGUAUUUCACCAAGGCUUAAUUUUCAGGAACAUCGGUGCUCCAGGCUAUCCGCUUCAUAGUUGCAGUUGAUGGAAGAUUCAUCAACUCAGACUUGACCUCACUCGUGCUGCGAUAGCCAUGGUUUUCGCAGCAUUUAUGAUAUUUGAUAUUUAUUACCCAUCAGAAGCUUCAGUCACAAUGGAAUUUAUGCAGAGGUGUUUCUGAAAAAUAAAUGCAGAAAAAGGGACAAAAAAUACCAGAACAAAGAAAAACGUGGCACACACCCAUCGAAGAAUAUUAAAGUUCAAUGAGCUUAUGGAAUAAGGAGUGAAAAAGCAUUCACACUCUUCUGUAUAAAUAAUUAAUGUUAAAUUUUGUGUUAAAAAAGUUAAAAAUCUGUUUUUCAUGAAUAAAGUUUUUUGAAAGUUAA